rnacentral:sRNA from 1 species
AAAUAAACCCGAUUGCAACGGAAAACAAAAGCUUUUUCUGCUUUUUUUGGAGUGAAAAGCGGGACAAAAC